rnacentral:rRNA from 1 species
ACGGGUGCGUAACACGUGAGUUACAUGCCCUGCAGUGGGGAAUAGCCCGCCGAAAGGCGGAUUAAUACUCCAUGGUCCCGCAAGGGUAAAGGUGGCGCAAGCUGCCGCUGCAGGAUUGGCUCGCGGCCUAUCAGCUAGUUGGCGAGGUAACGGCUCACCAAGGCGACGACGGGUACCUGGUCUGAGAGGAUGAUCAGGCACACUGGAACUGAGACACGGUCCAGACACCUACGGGUGGCAGCAGUCGAGAAUAAUUCACAAUGGGGGAAACCCUGAUGGUGCAACGCCGCGUGGAGGAUGAAGGUCUUCGGAUUGUAAACUCCUGUCAUCUGGGAGUAAGACCUGACGGUGAAUAGCCGGCAGGGUUGAUAGUACCAGAAGAGGAAGGGACGGCUAACUUCGUGCCAGCAGCCGCGGUAAUACGAAGGUCCCAAGCGUUGUUCGGAAUCACUGGGCGUAAAGGGAGCGUAGGCGGCGUGGUAAGUCAGAUGUGAAAUCCCGGGGCUCAACCCCGGAACUGCAUCCGAUACUGCCAUGCUUGAGGGUUGGAGAGGUAGCUGGAAUUAUCGGUGUAGCA